AAAGAAUCUGCACCCAAGGAAAUAAUUAUGACGCCCGUGAUGGCCUAGACAACUGCAAGACCAAAUUAUGAUGACAAAUGAAAUGCACCAGGCCUGGCCCAAGGACUCCUGGCUCAGCUGGAGAAGCUCAACAGGACGGCGGCACUGCCCUGUCAACCCAGAUCCGCUCACUCCGGGAAAUGGGGCCAGGAGCCAGGGUUUUGUGCCCUGGGUGGUCUGGAAGCCCAAACCUUAGCUGAUCUGGGGAAGUGGAGGCAGUUGGGUUUUGCACUCCCCCAUCGCUGAGUUUUUGUUUCAUCCGUCAAGGUCCCAUCUUCUGAAUUUGCUGACAUCUCUCACCUGGAUUGUCUUUGCCUGGCUUGUCUUCUGCUGACUGCUCAUCCACUCCCCAACCUCAUGGGGCUGGGGUUCUCAGAGCACAUCCAUGCACCGUCUUGUUUGUCUACACCUUUUCCUGAGGAAUGAGAUGACCCCCGUGAACAGAGAGUCUAUGCUGAUAGCCAUCAUCAAUGAAAAGUGAAAGAUCUGUUCUGUGGAUCAGGAGUUAAGGCGUGACUGAGCUGGAUGGCUCUGGCUCAGGGAUUCCCAUGAGGUUGAAAUCAAGAUGUCAAUCAGGACUACAGUCAUCUGAGGGCUUGCCUGGAGCUGGAGGAUCUGUUUCCAAGAUGGCGCCCUCACCAAGCUGUUGACAGGAGGCCUCAGACCUUCGCCACAUGGCCUCUCCAUAAGGCUGCUUGAGUGUCCUCGCAGACAUGUCAGACCUAUUUCCCCAUCUGCAAAAUAAGAAGACCGACUUCAAUGACCACUAAGGUUUCAUUUUCAGUCAGUUGUGUCCCAGCGUUCCAGCGCUGAGACCCUAGGCCUUGACCGCAGACCUCAGGCAGCCUCCUCCCGCUCCCCCUCCCUCCCUGCAAGACUCGCUGGCUCUUGGCCCCAAAUGCAACUACCUCCCAUCAGUGCCUAAGCCAUACCUGGGUUUAUCAGCAUCUCUAGGGUGGGACCCAAACAUCAGUAGGUUUUACAUCUCCCAAGUGAUUCCAACAUGCAGCCAUGGUUGAGGACCACUGCUCCAACUGCUCCACGUGAACCCUCACAUGGAGAAUCUUUCACCAAAUAAAACGACAUCGUAUUUGACUAAUUACUGAUUUGUCUUU
ensembl:lncRNA